rnacentral:misc_RNA from 1 species
CAGGAACUGAAGCAGAAGCUAUGGAG